UUUAUGGAGAGUUUGAUCCUGGCUCAGGAUGAACGCUGGCGGCGUGCCUAAUACAUGCAAGUCGAGCGAACGGACGAGAAGCUUGCUUCUCUGAUGUUAGCGGCGGACGGGUGAGUAACACGUGGAUAACCUACCUAUAAGACUGGGAUAACUUCGGGAAACCGGAGCUAAUACCGGAUAAUAUUUUGAACCGCAUGGUUCAAAAGUGAAAGACGGUCUUGCUGUCACUUAUAGAUGGAUCCGCGCUGCAUUAGCUAGUUGGUAAGGUAACGGCUUACCAAGGCAACGAUGCAUAGCCGACCUGAGAGGGUGAUCGGCCACACUGGAACUGAGACACGGUCCAGACUCCUACGGGAGGCAGCAGUAGGGAAUCUUCCGCAAUGGGCAAAAGCCUGACGGAGCAACGCCGCGUGAGUGAUGAAGGUCUUCGGAUCGUAAAACUCUGUUAUUAGGGAAGAACAUAUGUGUAAGUAACUGUGCACAUCUUGACGGUACCUAAUCAGAAAGCCACGGCUAACUACGUGCCAGCAGCCGCGGUAAUACGUAGGUGGCAAGCGUUAUCCGGAAUUAUUGGGCGUAAAGCGCGCGUAGGCGGUUUUUUAAGUCUGAUGUGAAAGCCCACGGCUCAACCGUGGAGGGUCAUUGGAAACUGGAAAACUUGAGUGCAGAAGAGGAAAGUGGAAUUCC
rnacentral:rRNA from 1 species